GAAGGUGCUCUACCAGCGUGCACCCAGGAAUAUCCACCGCCAUGUGAUCCUCUCUGAGAUCAAGGAAGCCGUCGCUGCCCUGCCCCCGCAGAUGCAUCCAGUCCAUGCUGGAGUCGACAGAAGGACUCUGCUGGGAGAGGUAGAGGCCCCCUGGCAGCAUCUGUAGCAUCUUCGUUUUAUGUCCCUUUCUGAAGGACGUGACCACGCAGUCUGUGAUGGGGUUUGAUCCUCUGCCUCCUUCGGACACAAUCUACUCCUACGUCAGGCCAGAGAGGCUAAGUCCUAUCAGCCAUGGAAACACCAUUGCUCUCUUCUUCCGGUCACUGUUGCCAAACUAUACCAUGGAGGAGGCAGCAGACACGAGGGGCUGCCCGAGGCUCUAG
rnacentral:lncRNA from 1 species